GGGAAGGUGGCUCAGUGGUAGAGCGCUUGCCUUGCAUGCAUGAAGCCCUGGGUUCGAUUCCUCAGAACCCCA
rnacentral:tRNA from 1 species